UACGGAGGAUCCGAGCGUUAUCCGGAUUUAUUGGGUUUAAAGGGUGCGCAGGCGGGAGAUUAAGUCGGCGGUGAAAUUUUGCAGCUCAACUGUAAAAGUGCCUUCGAAACUGGUUUCCUUGAGUGUAGAUGAAGUAGGCGGAAUUUGUGGUGUAGCGGUGAAAUGCAUAGAUAUCACGAGGAACUCCGAUUGCGCAGGCAGCUUACUAAACUACUACUGACGCUCAGGCACGAGGGCGUGGGGAUCAAACAGGAUUAGAUACCCGGGUAGUCCCU
rnacentral:rRNA from 1 species